rnacentral:tRNA from 1 species
CACAGUGUAACUUAGUGGUAGAGUGCUUGCCAAGCAUGCACAAGACACUGGGUUCAAUCCCCAGCACUGCAA